AUACGGAGGGUGCAAGCGUUAUCCGGAAUCAUGGGGUUUAAAGGGUCCGUAGGCGGGCUAAUAAGUCAGGGGUGAAAUCCCACAGCUUAACUGUGGAACUGCCCUUGAUACUGUUGGUCUUGAGUUACAGUGAAGUGGUUAGAAUGUGUAGUGUAGCGGUGAAAUGCAUAGAGAUUACACAGAAUACCGAUUGCGAAGGCAGAUCACUAACUGUAUACUGACGCUAAUGGACGAAAGCGUGGGGAGCGAACAGGAUUAGAAACCCCAGUAGUCC
rnacentral:rRNA from 1 species